UUCAAGGCUUGAGGAAGUGUUUUGUUUUUUCUGCCCUGCAAAAUGGUCCUGAUUUAUUACAUGCCCUGGCAUACAUUCCAUGCCGCCUGGGCGUGAUGGCCACACCCAACCCCUGGCCACAUGGGGUCCAAUGACUUGAUCUAAGAGUCGCCAACCUCCAAACCCUUUUAGCCAUAAAAUGCGGUAACUGUGGCACACCCCAUCCCUUCCUGCAGGGACACAGCCAAGCCAGCCCUGGGCAGUGUGGAUUGGGAAGGUGUGGAAGCUGAGGCUCUCGGGGUUAGGUAACAUGUCCAAGGUGACACAUGGAGUCAAAUCCAAAGCCAGGUUGGCCUAUUCCGGAGUCCAUGUUACCGUCUGGCCCGUAACAGAGAGGGAGUAACUUUACAUCCAUCGCUGGACCUUAUUUAUUAAACUUUUGAGUCCUAGGUCUAAAGGCCGCCGUCUGUAUUCUCGGGGUGGGAGCUUCCAGCUGGGAGGCAGAAGUGAGAUUUUGAAAUGAAUCAUCCUUCUUGUAAGUACUCAUUCAUGUCUACUUUUCCUCCUGGACUAUGUACUCCAUGAGGGCAGAGACUGUCCACCGCUGUGUCCCCACCACCUAGCGCCAUCCUGGCACAUAACAGAUGCUCAAAAUAUUUUUGUUUGAUUUGCUUGGAUAAUACUUGUUUCCUAGGAUUAUCUCAAAUAUUAAAUGAAAUAUUUAGAAUAAUGUUACCAUGAUAAACGGUAACUGUUAUUCUUAUUAUGGAAAUAAUAGAGGACAGUCCAGUCCGUGAGCCUCAGUUUCCUUCUCUGGAAAGUGGGAGGAACGAUGAUUCCUUAGGAGGAUUUAAUUAACUAAGAGAAGUGUGAAAAGUACUUUGCUCCGUGCAUAACAGUAGUAGAUAGUCGGCAAAUGGUAGGCACAGCACACAGACCGCCCCAUGGAGGUACUUCGUGUAUCUUUUAGCACUCUCUUGCUGUUACUACAUUGUUUGUCUUCUUAUGAGCACAUAGGAUCACUUUAUUCUCCUUGUUUUCCUCUGAGAUUUAUUGAAGCUGUGUAACGUGCCAGGCGCUUUCUCAUCAGGCCUUGGGAAAUAUCAUUAAUGGCCCUUGUAUACUCUUUCUGAAUGCUUCCAGGCUCAAACUUAGAAGUAAAACGUUGAGUUUCUCCAAGUACUGGGCUGUACUCAGAACAAGCACCCAGCACGGGAAGUUUGUGAAUGGCCCAAGGGGGCAUACAAGAAAGCAAGUUACGUUCCCAAAAUAACUCACUGUGCAAUUCUUCCAGGGCAAGCUGUCCCUGGGGCUGAUGCACAAUCAAUGCAAGGGCCGACUCCCCAAGGUCACUAGGUAACGUGAAAGGCGCAUGUGGCUUGGGGGCAUGGAUAGGCUUCAGUUCAUAACCACCAUCCUUAGCCUUUGCCCAAAUUGAUACCAUGGACUCUCUUUUUAAUGUAUCUGAUAAAAUUCUGCUCAAGGUCAAUAAUUUCUCCUGUGAACACCUUUGGUUGUGACAAUCUGGGAGAGGGGGUGCUACUUAUAUCUGGCGGGUAGAAGUCAGGGAUGCUGUUGAACAUCCUACAAUGCACAGGACAGUCCCACCACAAAGGACUAUCCAGCUCAAAAUAUUGAGACUGUUGAGUUAAAAAACCCUGAUCUAGAAUAAUUUUCUCACUGCGUUUGUAGUUUUCUUCCUUCCAUAGUGAAAACUGUCCUGGGAGUCUCCCUCAGAUGUCACCCAGCUUAUUGUAAGCGAUUAGGGAGUCUUGUACUUCAUCCCAUCUCCAAGCAGUUUGUGCACAUGUUCUCCGCCCAGCCAGCCUUCCUCGAUGCUCCCUCAUCUUUCUCGGAGACUCAUUCCACCGACAUUCGGAGGCUGGACGGAGAACCGCAUUUUGUGAACAUUGGAACCUGCUUCCCAGCCACUUUCCUUGAUCUCAGUGCCUUGGAGCCCUGAGUCAAAGAUGCCUCUGAAUGGGAUCCUUGUGGGGAGGAGACGGGAGGGAAGGUCGACAGGAGGCUUUGGUGUGAGGCUUGUGGUGACUCUGUCCCAGCAAGGCUGUUAUCGCAAUGUUAGGUCUAUUCACAAGGCUCAGUCGUAACUCUGCAUUUCACAUUUCCAGCAUUUAUUCACGUUUUAAUUAAAAAAAAUAAUUGAUUUUUAAAAUUUGCUAUUUGCCUCCCUAGAGAUCAUAAGCUCCAUUAGGCCUUCUAAAUUAUAAUUUUCAAGGAGUUAAAAAUAUGAAUCCCAUGCAAAUGUAUAGUGACCACAUGGCAAAGAUUUUACUCAACUCAUUCAUUAAUGACGGAACCAGAAAGAUGUUAUGACUGGUUCAAAGGAUACUUUGAAGAACAGACAUUUAUAUAGGCAAUCGGGAAUGCUGAAAUGAAUAUUUGCUAAUAGUUGCAAAACUUGUUCCUACCUAUAGGGCAAUGAAAGGUAUGUUUGGGAUCAUCUUUUCUACCGGGUUGAAAUGGAAUUCUCUCUACUGGAGAACACUCAUUUGCCCUGUUAUCGUUUUUCUUUAAUUUAACUUCUACCUUCACAGGAUUGUAGUAUAGCCUACUCCAUAGAAAUACAGUCAAAGACACACCUCCGUGGAAUCUGAUAAUUCCCAUCAUGCCCUGCACUCCACUGAAAGGAAGGCCCGUCAUCUCCUUUGCCCACUUCCAAGUCUUGGACAAUUUCUUCUGCAGGGCAGGGGUCAGAAUAUGUCCAGUUCCUUCGGCCCUUCUGGCUUGGAGCCUUGCAAAUCCUUGGGACAUAUUAUGUAAAUAUUUGUGGAAUGAACA
ensembl:lncRNA